UACGUAGGGUGCAAGCGUUAAUCGGAAUUACUGGGCGUAAAGCGUGCGCAGGCGGUUUUGUAAGUCUGUCGUGAAAGCCCCGGGCUCAACCUGGGAAUUGCGAUGGAGACUGCAAGGCUUGAAUCUGGCAGAGGGGGGUGGAAUUCCUGGUGUAGCAGUGAAAUGCGUAGAUAUCAGGAGGAACACCGAUGGCGAAGGCAGGUCUCUGGGCUGACACUGACGCUCAUGCACGAAAGCGUGGGGAGCAAACAGG
rnacentral:rRNA from 1 species